rnacentral:rRNA from 1 species
CCUACGGGAGGCAGCAGUGGGGAAUUUUGGACAAUGGGCGAAAGCCUGAUCCAGCAAUGCCGCGUGAGUGAAGAAGGCCUUCGGGUUGUAAAGCUCUUUUGUCAGGGAAGAAACGGUGAGAGCUAAUAUCUCUUGCUAAUGACGGUACCUGAAGAAUAAGCACCGGCUAACUACGUGCCAGCAGCCGCGGUAAUACGUAGGGUGCAAGCGUUAAUCGGAAUUACUGGGCGUAAAGCGUGCGCAGGCGGUUUUGUAAGUCUGAUGUGAAAUCCCCGGGCUCAACCUGGGAAUUGCAUUGGAGACUGCAAGGCUAGAAUCUGGCAGAGGGGGGUAGAAUUCCACGUGUAGCAGUGAAAUGCGUAGAUAUGUGGAGGAACACCGAUGGCGAAGGCAGCCCCCUGGGUCAAGAUUGACGCUCAUGCACGAAAGCGUGGGGAGCAAACAGGAUUAGAUACCCUGGUAGUCCACGCCCUAAACGAUGUCUACUAGUUGUCGGGUCUUAAUUGACUUGGUAACGCAGCUAACGCGUGAAGUAGACCGCCUGGGGAGUACGGUCGCAAGAUUAAAACUCAAAAGGAAUUGACCGGNGAGAGAGAGCGAGACGACGACGAGGGAGGAGG